rnacentral:rRNA from 1 species
GAAUGCGUGGUAUCAAAGCUCGUCCUAGUGGCGUGGCUCGAUAUAUGCUUCCUAACUUUGGGUAGUUAUGAAAGUGACUCCCAAUCAUUUACUUUGAAAAAAUUAGAGUGUUCAAAGCAGGCGUAACCUUGCCAUUGAAUAUUACAGCAUGGGAUAAUAGAAUAUGACGUUGGUCUUAUUUUGUUGGUUUCUAAGGCUGAUGUA